AUUGAACGCUGGCGGCAGGCCUAACACAUUCAAGUCGAACGAGUGGCGGACGGGUGAGUAAUGUCUGGGAAACUGCCCGAUGGAGGGGGAUACCUACUGGAAACGGUAGCUAAUACCGCAUACCAUCGGAUGUGCCCAGAUGGGAUUAGCCAGUAGGUGGGGUAAAGGCUCACCUAGGCGACGAUCCCUAGCUGGUCUGAGAGGAUGACCAGCCACACUGUAACUGAGACACUGUCCAGACUCCUACGGGAGGCAGCAGUUGGGAAUAUGGCACAAUGGGCGCAAGCCUGAUACAGCCCUGCCGCGUGUAUGAAGAAGGCCUUCGGGUUGUAAAGUACUUUCAGCGGGGAGGCGUUACCCGCAGAAGAAGCACCGGCUAACUCCGUGCCAGCAGCCGCGGUAAUUC
rnacentral:rRNA from 1 species